UACGAGCCGGUGUUUUGAUGUCAAAGCCAGCAGCAACAAGCCACAGUCCCCAGCAGUUCAGUCUUCCUCCUCCGAGUCCUUCCCCGGUCAUCCUGGAUCAUGAUACAACUAGCAGCGACAGUGACGACGACUGCAGCAGCCUGGAGUGACCCGCCUUCCGCCUGCACACCGACUCGGAUUUUAAUUCAUUUUUAAUUAAUUUAUUCUUCAUCUUCUUAUUAUUAUUAUUAUCAUUUUUAAUUAAUUUAUUCUUCAUCUUCUUCUUCUUAUUAUUAUUAUCAUUAUCAUUACAAGUAUUUAAUAAGUAUUUAAUAAAUGUUAACACUUUCCGGUUUAAUUCCAUGAUGUUUGAAUGGUUUUUGAAC
ensembl:lncRNA